AAUAUUGGACAAUGGGCGAAAGCCUGAUCCAGCCCUGCCGCGUGUGUGAAGAGGGUCUUCGGGUUGUACUGCACUUUACGUUGGGAGGAAGGGCAGUAAGCGAAUACCUUGCUGUUUUGUCGUUACCGAUAGAAUAAGCAACGGCUACCUCUGUGCCAGCAGCCGCGGUAAUACAGAGGGUGCAAGCGUUAAUCGGGAUUACUGGGCUUAAAGCGCGCGUAGGUGGUUCGUUAAGUUGGAUGUGAAAUCCCCGGGCUCAAACUGGGAAAUGCAUCCAAAACUGGCGAGCUAGAGUAGGGCAGAGGAUGGUGGAAUUUCCUGUGUAGCGGUGAAAUGCGUAGAUAUAGGAAGGAACACCAGUGGCGAAGGCGACCACCUGGGCUCAUACUGACACUGAGGUGCGAAAGCGUGGGGAGCAAACA
rnacentral:rRNA from 1 species